GGAUAACCUGCCCUUGGGUCCGGCAUAACCCCGGGAAACUGGGGAUAAUACCGGAUAACGCACAUAUGCUGGAAUGCUUUAUGCGUAAAAUGGAUUCGUCUGCCCAAGGAUGGGUCUGCGGCCUAUCAGGUAGUAGUGGGUGUAAUGUACCUACUAGCCAACAACGGGUACGGGUUGUGAGAGCAAGAGCCCGGAGAUGGAUUCUGAGACAUGAAUCCAGGCCCUACGGGGCGCAGCAGGCGCGAAAACUUUACAAUGCGGGAAACCGUGAUAAGGGGACACCGAGUGCCAGCAUCAUAUGCUGGCUGUCCAGGUGUGUAAAAUACACCUGUCAGCAAGGGCCGGGCAAGACCGGUGCCAGCCGCCGCGGUAACACCGGCGGCCCGAGUGGUGAUCGUGAUUAUUGGGUCUAAAGGGUCCGUAGCCGGUUUGGUCAGUCCUCCGGGAAAUCUGACGGCUCAACCGUUAGGCUUUCGGGGGAUACUGCCAGGCUUGGAACCGGGAGAGGUAAGAGGUACUACAGGGGUAGGAGUGAAAUCUUGUAAUCCCUGUGGGACCACCUGUGGCGAAGGCGUCUUACCAGAACGGGUUCGACGGUGAGGGACGAAAGCUGGGGGCACGAACCGGAUUAGAUACCCGGGUAGUCCCAGCCGUAAACGAUGCUCGCUAGGUGUCAGGCAUGGCGCGACCGUGUCUGGUGCCGCAGGGAAGCCGUGAAGCGAGCCACCUGGGAAGUACGGCCGCAAGGCUGAAACUUAA
rnacentral:rRNA from 1 species